UACUACUAAAAUUCUUCCACCGUUCAAGCUUUCGGUCAAAUCUUAAUCUCUUUAGUAUAAUCUGCACGCAUCUUUAUCAUGUGCCUAUGCGAAGCCAAACAGUAUUUCAUGAUGAGAUCACAUGUUUAAUGAGAGGUAUUUAUCUCAAAUGGACUCUGGGUUGAUAUUUCCUUGGCUAACGAUGUUCAACUGCGACUUAAACUCUAGGAAGAAAACUGAUCCGUUUGUCAUCUAUGACUUUUCAAACAAAUUGAAAAGCCUAUCUAGGAAUCACAUCAUCACCAAAAGCCUAGCUUUCCUAGACUUCCUGUCUCAUCCAUCACCCAAAACCAUUAUUUUUAUUGUUGCAUGCAUCUUGACCCCCAACUAAAUGAAUUUUAAAUUCAUUUUGAAUUGUGCCGCACAUCCACAUCCAAACAUCCACAUUAAUUUGAAUUGUGCCGCUUUAUUUGAGAUAUAAAUCGCAUCCUAUUUAUCUGGUUUAAGAAGAUACCGAGAAGAUAAUUAUUAUGAUAAAAUCCAUAAUAUUAUCCUUUAGGAAAAAUAUCUCCAUUUUUCCAUCCGACGGUUGAGAACCAUGCUCA
rnacentral:lncRNA from 1 species